rnacentral:rRNA from 1 species
ACUCCUACGGGAGGCAGCAGUAGGGAAUCUUCCGCAAUGGGCGAAAGCCUGACGGAGCAACGCCGCGUGAGUGAUGAAGGUCUUCGGAUCGUAAAACUCUGUUAUUAGGGAAGAACAAAUGUGUAAGUAACUAUGCACGUCUUGACGGUACCUAAUCAG